rnacentral:tRNA from 1 species
GGGGGCACAGUUCAGUGGUAGAGCACGUGCCUAGCAUGCACAAGGUCUUGGGUUCCAUCCCCAGUACUUCCA